rnacentral:misc_RNA from 1 species
AACCUCUCCUCAAAACAUAAGAUGUAAGUAGACCCUAUUGACAUCAUGAUAUACAUUGCCAAGAUGAAAUAUAUGUUUAAAUAUAAUUGGUGUUGAUCAUUUUCAAUUCGAUUGUGAAAUAUAUGAUAUAGGUUAAAUUUCAGUUAAGUUGUCCUUAUCAAUAAUUUUGAAUCCAUCAGAAACAGUAUUUCAAAAAUUUCAAGCAAGAACAUGCUGGCUUCAGCUUAUGACUGUUAUGAUUUGUCAUCAUGCUUUCUUUUUCAAAAAGUUAUGCUUUAGAAUGGAGCACUAAGGGUUUUGUUUUUGUUUCCAGCCUGAUAUAUAGAACUUGCUGCCGUUAAUACAUCUUGCUUUUUGGUCUGAGACCAAAAUUGGAGAGAGAACCUUUAAUGAUGCUUGUGCCACUUUCUCUACAUCUUUUUCAAGAAUCUUGAUCAUUUUAUAUUGAAACUUUUCCCAGCAUACAAAUUAAUCAUGUUCGGGUUUCAUUAACCAUUCUUAAAUUUUGUUAAUUUAAUCACAGGAUUGAGCCUAGAUAUCAAGAAAU